rnacentral:misc_RNA from 1 species
CCAAACUUGGUCAUUUAGAGGAAGUAAAAGUCGUAACAAGGUUUCCGUAGGUGAACCUGCGGAAGGAUCAUUACAAAAUAUUUUUUGUAAACCCUUCGUGCGCGCAUUCGCGUGUGCGAAACCACUCUGUGUGAAUAGUACACACGUAUACUUUGGCAGGUUUUGAGUUUUGUAGGGGUAUAUAACACUUGCGAGCUCUUAACCUUUAUACGGGGAGAUCUGCCAAAGUCCAUUACUUGAUAAACCAUUUUAUAUGUGAAAUUUUAAAUACUAUACAAGUAAAAAUAUAAAUACAACUUUCAGCAACGGAUCUCUUGGCUCUCGCAUCGAUGAAGAACGCAGC